rnacentral:rRNA from 1 species
GACGUAGGGGGCGAGCGUUGUCCGGAUUUAUUGGGCGUAAAGAGCUCGUAGGCGGCUCAGAAAGUCGGGUGUGAAACCUCCAGGCUCAACCUGGAGACGCCACCUGAUACUGCUGUGGCUAGAGUCCGGAAGAGGAGAGUGGAAUUCCUGGUGUAGCGGUGAAAUGCGCAGAUAUCAGGAAGAACACCAAUGGCGAAGGCAGCUCUCUGGGACGGUACUGACGCUGAGACGCGAAAGCGUGGGGAGCGAACAGG